UCUGAACUGUUGUAUGUCAACAGAGUCAAA
rnacentral:piRNA from 1 species